AGUACAAAAGCUAAUACUAAUGUGACCUCUACCAUUUUCAGUAUUAUUAUUUAUUUUUUUCCUUGUUGUUUAUUUAGGGAAGGAAUAAAUAGCUUCAUUAAAUUCCCCUUUCUUAUUUUAUAUUUAUAUCUUCGUUUAUACUUUGAGGUCAAAAUUAUGUGUUUAAUAAAGUACCUCCCACAAAGUCAUCAGUAAGAGAUGCACUUUUCAUUAUUUAUUUAUUGGUUGCUUAAUUAAUUUAGUACCAUUAAUUGAUUAUGAGAAGAAAAUAUCCAAAUGUAUUUUCCAAGGGAUUCAACAAUUCUCAAAACACUAUGAUAAAUAUAUUUGUUUAUUUAUUUAUUUAUUUAUUUUAUACCCAAUUUUAGGGCCUUACAAAUCCUACCACCUUAAAAAUAAUCUCGUCCUCGAGAUUUGUACGGACAUGGAUGUAAAAGAAAACUUUUUUAUAGUUUAGCUUUUAACUUCUAAGAAGUGUCAUGUUAUUUAGAAAGUGGUUAUGAAAGCAUGGGUAUAUAUAUGUAUGGUCACCUUAUUGUGUAGGAUGAAAGAUAGGUUAGGGCAAGCAUAGCCUAGGGUGAGAAGGUUUAUAGUGGGAAAGAAUUCUGUGUUGAGUGGUAAAGCAUUAGAAGAUUGAGUUUGACUUCUCUCCUUCCUUGACGAGGUUGAUCUUUUCUUCUCCAGUCUUGGUCUCCUUGAUUCGAGGUUAGUGUAUAUCAUCGGAGUUGGGGCAUAUGGUCGAAGUAGUUAUGGGUGAGAUGGACUACAUGUUGUAGGUCAAAAUCUUGUUUGAUGUUUGGUAGGCACAGAUAGAUUAUGCAAUCCAUCAUGACUCUAUUGGUUGGGUUAGAUCUAUUAGGAUGACAUAAAAUCUUUUCAAGAUAAGAUGAAUCCUCUAAGGUAAUAGAGUAUAUUUUUAAGAUAAGAUGGAUCUAUUAAGCUUACUAUAUUUUAGUGGGGGAUAAUCUAAGUUGCCUAGUUUUUGUAUCAACAUUUUUUUAUUUACUAUAUGUAUAUAUAGAUGUAAUUGUGGACAUUACUCCACAACUCAUCGCACUCAAUCAAAGAUCCAAAUCAGACAAGCAUCAUAAGAACAAACAUUCAAGUUCAUAGAUAUCUAUAUAACAGAAAAUAAUUUUGUUUUUGUUCCUAAGAGUAGGUCACCUAUUCCUAAAGUCACUUUAAGAACAGGAUUUCAAAGUGUGAAACCCACAUUUGUCUUUAGAAUGAAAAGGUAAGAAUAAUCAGAGUGAAGCGGAAUUAGAUGAGAAAAGAUUAAGAUGAGUUUAGAAAGAGUCAGAGUAGCAGAGGUAAGGUUAAUCAGAGUAGAACAGUAGAAGGUGAAACAGGAUCAAGAUAAGUAUAGAAAGAAUCAGAGUAAGGUAAGUAGACAAUGGUUGUCCAUUUCUAUCUAGGUUUCGUCCUACAGUCAACAUUCCUCUGAUACCACUUCUGUCACACCCGGAUUUUAGGGGUCCAAAACCCGGGCGCGAACAUAAUCACCAGGUGUGCUGGGACCAAGUCUCACACAUAUGAUGAAUCAUGGCACAGGAUCGAAUGUCACAUCUUUACUAUAUAAUAGGAGUUUUGUACAAAAUAAAUAAAUAAUUACAUUAUAAGGAGACAACGGUCCAGCAACCCAAAGUUGACUGGGAGACGACGGCCUAGACCUCUCACGAACACAUCGCAGCAUCCUCCAUGUGUCAUCCUACGGUACCUGUUCUUGACCUGUGGGGGGGGUGUGAGACAGCAAGAGUGAGCUCACAUACGUUCAUCGCUCAACAAGUUGUGGGGAAUAAAGUGCAUGAACUCGCCAAAGGUGGGAGCUCACGUGAAGUGUAAGGCUUACCAAAGAGGAUGGUUAGAGCUGAGCAUUGCUUUUAAAGUUGGUCAAAAUUUUAUUAGCAGUUACUAAGUAUAAGUAAAUACCAACCCAAUUAAGUAGUAGAGCAAAAGUAACAUCAUCACCUGCGAUGCAAUGCAUAUGACAAAUUGAAUUUAGUUCCAUAAAUUAAUCAUCAGAGAGUCCUGAGCUGCUCAUGACCGUGAGCUCGGCUAGUAUACCAGUUUUACACUCUGCAGAGGUGGUACCCUUUACCCACAAGUCAUGUUACCCGUCUGCCAAGGGAUCGCGACUUCCCAUACACCUCUACCGAGGAGGCGAGGCAGGGUAACACUACGAGGCCUUUACAAAGUUCCACUAGCUUCAGAAAACCCGCUACAGUUUAUAGGAAGCUCCAAUGCAGGAAUCCCUUGCAGGACCGCCAUCGCAGCAAAAUCCUCCCGAGGGCCUCCCUACACUGACCACUCCCCUACUGCCCUUGCCCCUUUCGGGUAAGGUAGUCCUCCACUAGCUUUCCUAAUUAAUCAGCCAAGGGCGUCCAUAAACCCUUGUGGUGGCACGUGUUUCUCAAGUUAAGCUCUAUGUUCCAAUUAACAUUUAAUGAUCUUGUCAUGAACAUAAAUAGAAUAACAACAUAAUUGGAACAUAGAUGUAAUGAAAUAUUAACCCAAAACCAUAUAAAGCAGUAGCAGAACUACCCAAGUGAUUCAGGGGUAAACAAGGUAUUCAGGAUGAACAAACUAGGGUGACCUAUUGGGUCCCAUCAAAAUUAACCUAUGCAGAUCAUUAUGAUUAAUCAGAACAUGAGUAGGUAAAAAGAAGUGAUCAAGGGCACAACUUGCCUGACACUUGAGAUUCCAGGUACCAACUUGCUCUUCGGAUGACACGUGUCCUCGCGCUAGUCGUAGCAAUACAAACAAAUAUGGUAUAGAUAAAACUAACAUCACACCAAGCAUAAGUACAAACUGAAUAAUAAUGAUCUACGCGUUUCUACGAGACUAACGCAACUUGAACGGAUCAAAUCAGAGUUAAAACGGGGAAGAUACGAAUUUCCUAAUGUUUUAUGUAUUUGAUAUGGAUUUAAUUAGGAAAUAAAUUUUAAGGUGGCUUUCGUGUCAAAUUAGUGGCACUAUUAGAUAAACAAUAAUAUUAUAAAAUUAUAGGAACUGGAAUGACUCAAUUUGGAAUUAGUAUGAAUUUUCUACGGAUUAAACAAAUUCUAGCCAUUAUUUUUAUAUUAAAAAUCCAUUUUCUAUUUAUUUCCCUGGAUUUUCUAUUUACUGGACUGGGCCUCAAUUACUGGUAAGUUCAGGGGCUAACCCGCAAGAUCUCCAAGACACAGCGCCAUCCGCGCUGGACCGCGGGUUGAAUCUCAAUAAACCCAGGGCCCAUAUGCAAAACAGACCCGACGAAGGGGUAUCAGCCAGAUCUGGCCGUCCGAUCCCCAACAGACGGUGCAGAUUAGAUUUGAAUUUUUCAGAAAGGGUAUGAAAUAUAAGGCCUUGGAUCCAGAUCUAACGGUCUGAGUUUUAUGAAAUCUAAUCCAGAUCCGAACCGCACGAUUGCGAUCCAACCGCCCGAAUUCCGCGGGGUGAAGGUGUACGCAGAAUUUAAUCCACUCCCUCCGUUUAGAAUCCUACGGCCCCGGCUUCUAUAACAUGUCUUCUAAUCCUAACCAGUCAUCGCGAGAUCAAGGGCUCUGCGUUCGUCUUCUUCCUUUCGUCAACCCGGCAGUAGUUGCAAGUGCCAGGAAACCCAGCAUGGUGAACGGUGAGCUAGCUACUCGUCGGUACGGGUCGACGUGCGAAUAUAACUCACGUACUGAGAAAGUAAUGGUGGUUUGCAGGGGAGUUAUCAUACCGUGUUUCACGGCGCAAGUACAGUCGUCUAGAAGUCUGCAGCAUGACGGCGAUCCUUCAAUGUCGACAACGAAGCACUCGCACAAUCUUCAACGCUCGGCGAAGAGGCCCGGUCCGCUCCUCAUCGCACGCACAGGAAGUACCUGGACAUCCAGUGCGUGACUUGUCGAACACCCUCUCGGCAACAACACUCACGUUCUCUCUCUUCAUCCUUUGUUUCUCUCGGCGGCUGUGAAUAUGACGGCGCACGCCCGGUGCUUUUCUCCAGGGCGACCGAGACGGCAACUGCCAGGACCAAGAGAUUUAUGGGGGCGCGCAGGGCGGUAGCGCCGGAAAUCCGGUUCUCCGUUUUGGUCGGCGCCCACAUCCCGGAAAUACGCGUAUGCGUAUUCGCAGUGGCCCAGCCGUCAGGGACAGUGAAAGGUAUACGGAUGAGGUCACCUGUGACGCCCGGCCGACGUCACCCACGCAGGAAACUAUUCUUUAUUCGGCUGGAGCGGUCCUCGGCGGGAGAAUAGCUGCAGGAGGAAGCCACCUGGGCCGGCUGUUACGGGGAGGUGGUUACGGCAUGCAUGGAUUUGUUACGGGGAGGAAGACGCGGUUGACAUCAGAGCCUAUAAACUAGUUACCCGCGCAGAGCUUCGUACGUGAUUCUAUCGUCCACAUGUCGGUGACUACGUAGAAGUAGACGUGUGCAUGGAAAUACGGCUGCAUGUGUUGCUUGCUUGAUGUCACACUUGUGUCAUGCUGACCUCAUGUGCGGCAAGAGGAUUAAAUAAAAGAAAAGAAGAGAUGUGGGCUACGGAAUACCUUGGGCUGGGUGGGAGGUGAUCUGGCCCAAGCGCAGGAUUGCUCCUCUUUUUUUUCUAUUUUAAAUUUCUUGUUUUAGUUUCCUUCACAUUUUCAGAUUCCUAUUUCAAAUUCAAAAUUGAUUCAACUUCAAUUUUGCCAGUACAAAAGCUAAUACUAAUGUGACCUCUACCAUUUUCAGUAUUAUUAUUUAUUUUUUUUCCUUGUUGUUUAUUUAGGGAAGGAAUAAAUAGCUUCAUUAAAUUCCCCUUUCUUAUUUUAUAUUUAUAUCUUCGUUUAUACUUUGAGGUCAAAAUUAUGUGUUUAAUAAAGUACCUCCCACAAAGUCAUCAGUAAGAGAUGCACUUUUCAUUAUUUAUUUAUUGGUUGCUUAAUUAAUUUAGUACCAUUAAUUGAUUAUGAGAAGAAAAUAUCCAAAUGUAUUUUCCAAGGGAUUCAACAAUUCUCAAAACACUAUGAUAAAUAUAUUUAUUUAUUUAUUUAUUUAUUUAUUUUAUACCCAAUUUUAGGGCCUUACAAAUGGGUGGAAGUAUAUGUCUAGCACAUUUUGUUUGGGAAGAACUCAUGUUGUUGACUUGCAUAAUGCAUUCAUCAUCCAUUGCAUUGAAGUUUCGUCGCGAUCUUAUGGUCCGACCGUACCGGUACAAUGAGCAUCAUAUAUUGCCCGAG
rnacentral:lncRNA from 1 species